rnacentral:rRNA from 1 species
AGAGUUUGAUCAUGGCUCAGGACGAACGCUGGCGGCGCGCUUAACACAUGCAAGUCGUGCGGUACCGAUGGCAAGUCUUCAUGACGAGCCUUCGGUAUAGCGGCGGACGGGUGAGUAACACGUGAGUAGCUGUCCUAGGGAGGGGGAUAACGCCUGGAAACGGGUGCUAAAACCCCAUAAGCCUCGCAAGAGGUGAAAGUGUACUUGUUACAGCCUUAGGGUGUGCUCGCGGCCUAUCAGCUAGUUGGUGAGGUAAGGGCUCACCAAGGCUAAGACGGGUAGCCGGCCUGAGAGGGUGUACGGCCACACUGGAAUUGAGAUACGGUCCAGACUCCUACGGGAGGCAGCAGUGGGGAAUUUUGGGCAAUGGGCGAAAGCCUGACCCAGCGACGCCGCGUUGGGGAUGAAGUCCUUCGGGGCGUAAACCCAUGUUGUAGGGGAAGAAGAAAGUGACGGUACCCUACGAGAAAGCCCCGGCCAACUACGUGCCAGCAGCCGCGGUAAU